CUACUGGAAGGGUAAAAUGCUCAAGGCCUACAGCCGCCCACGAGCAGCCACCAAGGCACGCACCCCCAGGCUCCCGAGCUCAGAAGGGCCUGUGCGUCCGUCAAAUCUCUGCUGCGGACGUCUUGAAAUCCUUAAUACUUUCUGAACGAGGAGCUCCGCGUUUUCAUUUCGCACUGGGCCCUGCAGAGUCUGUCCUGCCUGCCCACUCCUUCAGCCAAGGUUCCGGCACAUCGCAGACUUUGUCUGGGGCUCUGCAGGGCUGAGGCUCAUCAACAGGAGAGAACUUUGGAGCAGCAGAAGGAGAUAGUAGAGGAACAGCCAAGCAGGUGGAGGAUUAGGUCUGGGACACGGAGAGGGUGUCCCCUCUUCAUCCCCAGGUUCUUCCUUCCAAAUUGCAGGAAGGGACGGGUUGCACAUACUUGCUGCAUGCACUGCGUUGCAAAAGGCCGAGGAGAAUGAGGGGGAAACUGCUCCCUGGGAUUCUGAACCCCGCCCCCCCUCCCAGUGGAUGGCCA
rnacentral:lncRNA from 10 species